CCAUCUGUAUCACCAGAUGAACCUAUGAGCCUGAAUAAAGCAGCGGCUCAGACAAUGUAACGAAGAGCGGGAAUAUCCCGUUCGGGAUUUGAAUCGUGAGAAGAAGAUCCUCCUGAUAACCACAAAUCGGGUGAGUGC
rfam:Vibrionales bacterium SWAT-3 1101732140706, whole genome shotgun sequence.